rnacentral:rRNA from 1 species
UACGGGGGGAGCAAGCGUUGUUCGGAUUUACUGGGCGUAAAGGGCGCGUAGGCGGCGCAACAAGUCACUUGUGAAAUCUCCGGGCUUAACCCGGAGCGGCCAAGUGAUACUGUCGUGCUAGAGUGCGGAAGGGGCUACUGGAAUUCUCGGUGUAGCGGUGAAAUGCGUAGAUAUCGAGAGGAACACCUGCGGCGAAGGCGGGUAGCUGGGCCGAACACUGACGCUGAGGCGCGAAAGCCAGGGGAGCGAACGGG